UACGUAGGGGGCAAGCGUUGUCCGGAAUCAUUGGGCGUAAAGCGCACGCAGGCGGUCUGCUAAGUUUGGAGUGACAGUUGGUGGCUUAACUGCCAAAGUGCUUCGAAAACUGACAGACUUGAGGGCUUCAGAGGGACACGGAAUUCCGGGUGGAGUGGUGAAAUGCGUAGAGAUCCGGAGGAACACCAAAGGCGAAGGCAGUGUCCCGGGGAGUACCUGACGCUCAGGUGCGAAAGCCAGGGGAGCGAACGGG
rnacentral:rRNA from 1 species